CCAGACUUCAGUGAAGAACCUGGACCCUCAGACUCAGAACCAGGACCUGGACUGCUGGCAGCCAAUCAGAGCAGCUGUGCUCCAAGUGAGACUGAACAUCUCCAAUCAGAACUUCCUUCUAUCGUCUCUGUUGGACUAAUUCCUCGUCUCUAGUUGGCAUUUGGGAAUCUCAGUGUUUAAAGUCUUUCUGGGAUCGAUUAUUUCCCCUGAAUCUCUGGAUUUCCAGCUGCUAUGUUGGUCUGCAGGAGGUUCUAGAGGAACAUAAGAUCA